UUCCGUAGGUGAACCUGCGGAGGGAUCAUUACCGAGUUUACAACUCCCAAACCCCUGUGAACAUACCACUUGUUGCCUCGGCGGAUCAGCCCGCUCCCGGUAAAACGGGACGGCCCGCCAGAGGACCCCUAAACUCUGUUUCUAUAUGUAACUUCUGAGUAAAACCAUAAAUAAAUCAAAACUUUCAACAACGGAUCUCUUGGUUCUGGCAUCGAUGAAGAACGCAGCAAAAUGCGAUAAGUAAUGUGAAUUGCAGAAUUCAGUGAAUCAUCGAAUCUUUGAACGCACAUUGCGCCCGCCAGUAUUCUGGCGGGCAUGCCUGUUCGAGCGUCAUUUCAACCCUCAAGCACAGCUUGGUGUUGGGACUCGCGUUAAUUCGCGUUCCCCAAAUUGAUUGGCGGUCACGUCGAGCUUCCAUAGCGUAGUAGUAAAACCCUCGUUACUGGUAAUCGUCGCGGCCACGCCGUUAAACCCCAACUUCUGAGUGUUGACCUCGGAUCAGGUAGGAAUACCCGCUGAACUUAAGCAUAUCAAUAAGCGGAGGA
rnacentral:rRNA from 1 species